rnacentral:rRNA from 1 species
UACGGGGGGGGCAAGCGUUGUUCGGAAUUACUGGGCGUAAAGGGCUCGUAGGCGGGCUGUCAAGUCUGGGGUGAAAUCCCGCGGCUCAACCGCGGAACUGCCUCAGAUACUGACGGUCUCGAGGGGGGUAGGGGCGAGCGGAACUGAUGGUGGAGCGGUGAAAUGCGUAGAUAUUGGGAGGAACACCAGUGGCGAAGGCGGCUCACUGGACCGGUUCUGACGCUGAGGCGCGAAAGCGUGGGGAGCAAACGGG